rnacentral:lncRNA from 1 species
CGACGAAGGUAUCAAUGAAAAAGUAGAGGAGAUUGGGAUUAUGGGUUGUGUUUGGUUGCUGAGAAAAUGAUAGGUUUUUUUUUUUUUUUUUUUACCUUUUCUUUAAUUACUUAUUUUUAAAUGCAUAAAUUUUUUUUUUUUGCCACGUAGUAUAAAUUUGGCAGUCACGUCAACACAAAUGUGGAUUUCAUAUUUGCCACGUCAUCACUUAACGGUUUACUUAACAGAUUUUCUAACGGAUGUAUGAAAUUGAAAUAAAAUAGUAGGUGAGGGAUGAAAGUGAAUGUUAUAAAAAUGUUGUAAGGAAUUGAAAUCGACCACAAACCUGAAAGGGUAAAAUGUAAUUUACCCAAGAUAUUUAGUGCAAGUAACUCAAGAGAGUAAAGUAAUGAGUUGUGCGCUUGAGAGGUUCUUAGCUAUCUUAGUUUCAAAUAAGAGCCAAGUAAUGAGUUGGACGUUUAAAAGAUUCUUAAUUAUCUUCAAUUGCCUACUUUUUGUAUCUCUUUCAUCAAAUAUCAUGUUUGAUGUAACUCAAUGGUUUUUUGUUAAAAAGAAAUUAAGGAACGUGCAUUAUUAAUUUCAUUUUCAAACGGCAUAGUAGUAUCUCUGUUAGCAAAAACCCCAACUCAUCAAAAGCAAUGCAAUGCAAGUAAACAAAGCCUAAAGACCCACCAAAAUCACCACCCCC